AGUACGAGAGGACCGGAGUGGACGCAUCACUGGUGUUCGGGUUGUCAUGCCAAUGGCACUGCCCGGUAGCUAAAUGCGGAAGAGAUAAGUGCUGAAAGCAUCUAAGCACGAAACUUGCCCCGAGAUGAGUUCUCCCUGAGACUUAAAGUCUCCUGAAGGAACGUUGAAGACGACGACGUUGAUAGGCCGGGUGUGUAAGCGCAGCGAUGCGUUGAGCUAACCGGUACUAAUGAACCGUGAGGCUUAACCUUACAACGCCGAAG
rnacentral:rRNA from 1 species